GGUCUUGUGGUGUAAUGGUAACACACGCUCCUUUGAUAUAACCAGGCCAGUAUCACUGUAUAAGGGUGUUCCUUGUUCGAAUCAAGGCAAGGCCU